GUAGGUGAACCUGCGGAAGGAUCAUUACACGUUCCGUAUUAUGAGAAAAUACUUACUGCUGCUGCCAUAUUGCUGCUGCUGCUGCUGCUGCUGCUGCUGCUGCUGUUGUUGCUGUGUUGUGGUAGUAGUAGUAGUAGUAGUAGUAGUAUGCAUGUGGUGGUAUGCAAUGCCCGGAUCUGUCGGUCAUGACAGACCAACAUAAUUGCGGUGGGGUGUCUAACCUGUCGGCUGCCCGCCAGGUAUGCUCGCUUUCCUCCCUCCCUCUCUUGUGGUGGUGGUUGUUGUUGUCGUCGUUCCCCUCCUCUUGUGUGUGUGUGUAAAGGAGGACGGCGAUGGGGUUGGAGGUUGCCAGUUAAUACCGGGGUGACAGGAUAGUGGACGUACAAGGUUGCGCCGCUGCCAGUGUGUAUGUGUUGUGUGCAGAUGCUCCUUGUGCGUGUGCGAGGCGUAAGACCCGAGGUCGCAUGUGCUGCUGCUGCUGCUGCUGGUAUGAAUGAAUGCGAUCUCGGCGCCCCACCAUGUGUCGGUUGUUUUGUGCUGUUGUGUUUUACCCCCUUUGGGCGUGGAUCUCCCAUGCUCUCCUUAGCCAUGCUCUGCUGCAUAGUGGAGCGCGGCGGUGCACCCCUUGUUGGUCAGUUACUGGCCCAAGUUCUAGUGCGCCUAAUAAAACAGCCGGCAAUCAUGUCGGUUGUUAGUACAACUCUAUGCGGUGGAUCACUCGGCUCGUGUGUCGAUGAAGAGCGCAGCCAACUGUGUGAAUUAAUGUGAAUCGCAGACUGCUUUGAACAUCGACGUCUUGAACGCACAUUGCGGCCGUAGGCUUGCCUACGGCCACGUCUGGCCGAGGGUCGGCUUAUAAACUAUCACGGUGCGCUAAAAGCCGUGGCUUGGAAGGUUGCCAACUGGCGGGAUAUCUCGGUCUUCCUCCUCGUCUUCUUGGGUCAGCACUAGCACCAUGGUCUGUGGGUGGGUGUGUGUGCUGUGGCGGUGGCGGACCGUGAGCCAGACUGCAAUGGCUCCUUUUUAAUGUGGCCUUUAUGGCAUUUAAGCGAGUUGCCUCCGUUGUCAUCUUUGUUUUGGUUGUCUGCGGUGGUUUCUCCUCAUCAUCUCCUGCCUGUUUGUUAGUGCGUGUUUGUGUUAGCCUGCGUCCAUUGUUUCUGUGGGGGCGCCGGUGCGCACUGGCCGUGGCUCAGUGUGUGUGUCUGUGUGUGUGUAGCACGCCGUGCGAGCACUAACAACAUAUGGUGGUAGUGGUGGUGGUGAUGAUGGUGAUGGUAGAAUGAUGAUGGCAGCGGCAGCAACUACUGCUUCUUCUUCUUUGCCUGACCUCGGAUCAGUCGUGAAUACCCGCUGAACUUAAGCAUAUCACUAAGCGGAGGAAAAGAAACUAA
rnacentral:rRNA from 1 species